rnacentral:tRNA from 1 species
AGGUAAGGUGGCCGAGAGAUAGGUGGUGGCUUGUAAUUCCAACUUAGGGCGGUUUAAGUCCGCCCCUUACCA